UUCAUAGGGAAAACGACAAAGAACUCAAGUCCAGCACAGGAGACUUUACAAAUGGAUCACCUAAAGACAAUACCAGCAAACCACCAGAAUCCAUUCAUCAAGUAGCAAAGCCAAGGGCAAGACACAUCCAACCUGACUACAGUGGUACAGGCUACGGCUAUCUUGUUCAAUGUGACAAAUGCUCCAAAUGGAGAAGAUUGUCUGAUGGAGUGAGUCCUGCUACUCUGCCUGAUAAAUGGUUCUGCUGGCUCAGCACCGAUCCAAACAUUUACGAUUGCUCAACAAAAGAGGAGAUUCCAGUCAWUAUGAACUAAGAACCYAUAGGGCAAUGCAGACACAACUCUCUACCAAAACAACUAUGCAGAAUUGAUGUAAAAAAAAAAAACAAACAAGCAAAAUAAUUAAUUAUUGAUUUUUAAUAUCAAGAUGUUCUCAGAUAAUUUAUUGGAAUGAUUUUAUGUCAAACACCUACAAGGAAGCAUUUUCAC